rnacentral:rRNA from 1 species
AUCAACUUUCGAUGGUAGGAUAGAGGCCUACCAUGGUGGUAACGGGUAACGGGGUGUUAGGGCACGACACCGGAGAGGGAGCCUGAGAAACGGCUACCACAUCCAAGGAUGGCAGCAGGCGCGCAAAUUACCCAAUCCCGACACGGGGAGGUAGUGACAAUAAAUAACAAUACGGGGUUCUUUAGGAUCUCGUAAUUGGAAUGAGUACAAUUUAAAUCUCUUAACGAGGAACAAUUGGAGGGCAAGUCUGGUGCCAGCAGCCGCGGUAAUUCCAGCUCCAAUAGCGUAUAUUAAAGUUGUUGCAGUUAAAAAGCUCGUAGUUGAAUUUCGGGACCAAUUUGUUGGUCGUGCCUCGGUACGUACUGGUAUUAUUGGUUUCUCCCUUCUGAAGAACCUCGAUGCCAUUAAUUUGGUGUCGUGGGGAAUCAGGACUGUUACUUUGAAAAAAUUAGAGUGUUUAAAGCAAGCAUACGCUUGAAUACAUUAGCAUGGAAUAAUGAAAUAGGACGUUUGAUUCUAUUUUGUUGGUUUCUAGGAUCGACGUAAUGAUUAAUAGGGAUAGUUGGGGGCAUUAGAAUUCAAUUGUCAGAGGUGAAAUUCUUGGAUUUAUUGAAGACUAACUACUGCGAAAGCAUUUGCCAAGGAUGUUUUCAUUAAUCAAGAACGAAAGUUAGGGGAUCGAAGACGAUCAGAUACCGUCGUAGUCUUAACCAUAAACUAUGCCGACUAGGGAUCGGAUGAUGUUAAUUUUUUAAUGACUCAUUCGGCGCCUUACGGGAAACCAAAGUGUUUGGGUUC